rnacentral:misc_RNA from 1 species
GAUGAAGAACGUAGCGAAAUGCGAUACUUGGUGUGAAUUGCAGAAUCCCGUGAACCAUCGAGUCUUUGAACGCAAGUUGCGCCCGAAGCCAUUAGGCCGAGGGCACGCCUGCCUGGGCGUCACACGUCGUUGCCCCCCCAUCUACUCCUUCGGGAUUGCGGGGGGCGGAUGAUGGCCUCUCGUGCGCCUCGUCGCGCGGUUGGCCUAAAUGCCAAGUCCUCGGCGACGCACGCCACGACAAUCGGUGGUUGCGAAACCUCGGUUCCCUGUCGUGUGCGGUCGUCGCGCAUCGAGGGCUCGAAAAAAUUGCCGGGCUUCGGCUCGACUUUCAACGCGACCCCAGGUCAGGCGGGGUUACCCGCUGAAUUUAAGCAUAUCAAUAAGCGGAGGA